GACGAACGCUGGCGGCGUGCCUAAUACAUGCAAGUCGAGCGGACGAAUCGAAAGCUUGCUUUUGAUUCGUUAGCGGCGGACGGGUGAGUAACACGUGGGCAACCUGCCCUGUAGACGGGGAUAACACCGAGAAAUCGGUGCUAAUACCGGAUAACACGAAAUGCCGCAUGACGUUUCGUUGAAAGACGGCGCAAGCUGUCGCUACAGGAUGGGCCCGCGGCGCAUUAGCUAGUUGGUGAGGUAACGGCUCACCAAGGCGACGAUGCGUAGCCGACCUGAGAGGGUGAUCGGCCACACUGGGACUGAGACACGGCCCAGACUCCUACGGGAGGCAGCAGUAGGGAAUCUUCCGCAAAGGACGAAAGUCUGACGGAGCAACGCCGCGUGAGCGAAGAAGGCCUUCGGGUCGUAAAGCUCUGUUGUUAGGGAAGAACAAGUAACGCAGUAACUGGCGUUACCGUGACGGUACCUAACGAGAAAGCCACGGCUAACUACGUG
rnacentral:rRNA from 1 species